UUUAUGGAGAGUUUGAUCCUGGCUCAGAGUGAACGCUGGCGGCGUGCCUAAUACAUGCAAGUCGAACGAUGAAGCUUCUAGCUUGCUAGAAUGCUGAUUAGUGGCGCACGGGUGAGUAACGCAUAGGUCAUGUGCCUCUUAGUUUGGGAUAGCCAUUGGAAACGAUGAUUAAUACCAGAUACUCCCUACGGGGGAAAGAUUUAUCGCUAAGAGAUCAGCCUAUGUCCUAUCAGCUUGUUGGUAAGGUAAUGGCUUACCAAGGCUAUGACGGGUAUCCGGCCUGAGAGGGUGAACGGACACACUGGAACUGAGACACGGUCCAGACUCCUACGGGAGGCAGCAGUAGGGAAUAUUGCUCAAUGGGGGAAACCCUGAAGCAGCAACGCCGCGUGGAGGAUGAAGGUUUUAGGAUUGUAAACUCCUUUUGUUAGAGAAGAUAAUGACGGUAUCUAACGAAUAAGCACCGGCUAACUCCGUGCCAGCAGCCGCGGUAAUACGGAGGGUGCAAGCGUUACUCGGAAUCACUGGGCGUAAAGAGCGCGUAGGCGGGAUAGUCAGUCAGGUGUGAAAUCCUAUGGCUUAACCAUAGAACUGCAUUUGAAACUACUAUUCUAGAGUGUGGGAGAGGUAGGUGGAAUUCUUGGUGUAGGGGUAAAAUCCGUAGAGAUCAAGAGGAAUACUCAUUGCGAAGGCGACCUGCUGGAACAUUACUGACGCUGAUUGCGCGAAAGCGUGGGGAGCAAACAGGAUUAGAUACCCUGGUAGUCCACGCCCUAAACGAUGGAUGCUAGUUGUUGGAGGGCUUAGUCUCUCCAGUAAUGCAGCUAACGCAUUAAGCAUCCCGCCUGGGGAGUACGGUCGCAAGAUUAAAACUCAAAGGAAUAGACGGGGACCCGCACAAGCGGUGGAGCAUGUGGUUUAAUUCGAAGAUACACGAAGAACCUUACCUAGGCUUGACAUUGAGAGAAUCCGCUAGAAAUAGUGGAGUGUCUAGCUUGCUAGACCUUGAAAACAGGUGCUGCACGGCUGUCGUCAGCUCGUGUCGUGAGAUGUUGGGUUAAGUCCCGCAACGAGCGCAACCCCCUUUCUUAGUUGCUAACAGGUCAUGCUGAGAACUCUAAGGAUACUGCCUCCGUAAGGAGGAGGAAGGUGGGGACGACGUCAAGUCAUCAUGGCCCUUACGCCUAGGGCUACACACGUGCUACAAUGGGGUGCACAAAGAGAAGCAAUACUGCGAAGUGGAGCCAAUCUUCAAAACACCUCUCAGUUCGGAUUGUAGGCUGCAACUCGCCUGCAUGAAGCUGGAAUCGCUAGUAAUCGCAAAUCAGCCAUGUUGCGGUGAAUACGUUCCCGGGUCUUGUACUCACCGCCCGUCACACCAUGGGAGUUGUGUUUGCCUUAAGUCAGGAUGCUAAAUUAGCUACUGCCCACGGCACACACAGCGACUGGGGUGAAGUCGUAACAAGGUAACCGUAGGUGAACCUGCGGUUGGAUCACCUCCUUU
rnacentral:rRNA from 1 species